CAGGGCGUAGUUCAGUUGGGAGAACGCCAGAAUCGGGGUCUGGAGGUCGAGGGUUCGAGUCCCUCCGCCCUGA
rnacentral:tRNA from 1 species